GACGAACGCUGGCGGCGUGCUUAACACAUGCAAGUCGAACGGCAACACCCUGCUAUUUUGGUGUUCUCGAGUGGCGAUCGGGUGCGUAUCACGUGUGUAUCCUGCCCUUCUCUUUCGGAUAACUUCACGUAACUGGACCUACUAUCGUAUAGCAUCCCCUCCUGCAUUGUGAGCAUUGGAUCUUUUCGGCGGUUGGGGAUGGAUUCGCGGCUUAUGGGCUUGUUGGUGGGGUAGUGGCUUACCAAGGGAUUGACGGGUAGGCGGCAUGUGAGGGUGACCGGCGACAAUGGGACUGAGAGAGGGACCAGACUCGAACAGGAGGCAGCAGGGGGGAGUAUGGUACAAUGGGCGGAAGCGUGAUGCAGAAACGCCGGGGUCGGGAUGACGGCUUUCGGGUAAUAAACCGCUGUCGCCUGAGACGAAGCGUGAGUGACGGUAAUGGGUAAAGAAGCACCGGCUAACUACGUG
rnacentral:rRNA from 1 species